rnacentral:rRNA from 1 species
AAACGACAUCGAAAGCUUGCUUUUGAUGGGCGUCGACCGGCGCACGGGUGAGUAACGCGUAUCCAACCUGCCCUUCACAGGGGGAUAACCUUGCGAAAGUAAGACUAAUACCCAAUGAUAUCUCUAGAAGACAUCUGAAAGAGAUUAAAGAUUUAUCGGUGAUGGAGUGGGGAUGCGUCUGAUUAGCUUGUUGGCGGGGUAACGGCCCACCAAGGCAACGAUCAGUAGGGGUUCUGAGAGGAAGGUCCCCACAUUGGAACUGAGACACGGUCCAAACUCC